UAACGAGUGGACGUGUGGACUAACGAGUGGACGUGUGGACUAACGAGUGGACGUGUGGACUAACGAGUGGACGUGUGGACUAACGAGUGGACGUGUGGACUAACGAGUGGACAUGUGGACAGGCAGCAGUGACCCUGGGCUGUGUCGGGUGAAGGACGAGCUGUGACCUCUCAGCAGAGCUGCUACAAAGUUAACCAUAAAAAAAAUAAAACAUGGCAUCACAUCGUGGAGGACGGAUUGGGAUGAAGACGGAGAUGGAGGGGUGGAGGGGAGAGGAGGGGAAAAGAGAGGGGUUAAUAACACACACACAGAGAGAGAGAGAGAGAGAGAGAGAGAGAGAGAGAGAGAGAGAGAGAGAGAGAGAGAGAGGGACUGUCGCACACACACAGAGAGAGAGAGAGAGAGAGAGGACAAAAACGUGACUAGGCAGACUAAGAGCUGUUAUGCAACCGCUGACCUACUAACACAUAUUUCUAGAAAGGGAGCCGGAGAAACUGGAGCAAAGUGUCCGGUAGCGCACAACACACCCGCAGCCCGAGCCAGCAGCCUCACUCAGCAUCCGCGCGUCCCAGCGAGCCGCUCAGCCGCCGCCGACCCGAGCACCGACGCACGGAAAAGCCGGACAAAGUUGCAUUUUUCUCCCGUUUCAUUUUUUUUUUCUUCUUCACAGGAAGAACAAGAAAGGAGGAAACGGGAGCGAGACUGCUUCUUUUUCUUUUCUCCCCCCUCCUCCUCCUCCUCCUCCUCCAGGACGCAGAGAGUUAGUGGUCAGCAAACAGCAGCACAGAAGCUGGAUCCUCAGGGAGCUUUGAAGUUGACGCACUGACCUACAUCCUAUGUAAGAUCCUGAGAGAAGCAGGGCAGCGACCUGACAGUCAUCACAGCUCACAGCUGCUAAAGAUUGAAGAAGACGAAAAUAAACUCAAAAUAACUUCCAGCAAGGCUCCGGAAGCUGCUUUCAAAUACUUCUGCCAGGACAACUGGAAGACCCUUUGCUGAAGAUAUAAAAUAGUUUCUUUUUUUUGGGCUCCUUGUUCAGAACACUAGUUCAAUGUCUGAGGUUUUUGUGGAGUCUCACCUCUUUUUAAUCUUCCUGGCUAAUUUAGACACUUGAACGUUUUGAUCUUGAGAAAAAGUAACAGAAAUCAAUGAGGCAAUCUCUUCAAAGAGCACAAAUACCUCAUCCGGAAAUAUUUUCAGAUCGUGUGACAUAGGUCAAAUUUCUUAGGAGUAGAAAGCUCAUCAUAUAGUUUUACAUAUAUUCCCUUCCCCCCUUUGCCCUUUGCCCUUUGCUAGAGUCACACU
rnacentral:lncRNA from 1 species